rnacentral:miRNA from 1 species
GUCUGCAUGGGUGAGCCUUAUCU